rnacentral:tRNA from 1 species
GCCGGCGUGGCGGAAUGGCAGACGCGGCGGACUCAAAAUCCGCUCUAAGCAAUUAGGUGGGGGUUCAAGUCCCUUCGCCGGCACCA